UGGACGGACAAGCACCAUUGGACAUAGAACCAAAGACGCCGGCGGUCGUUGCAGAGGAAAAGACCGUGGAAGCGGCAGUGGAAAGAGGGGAGACCGGCAGCGAGAAGGAGAAAGAAGAAUUGAGUGUUAAGGGAGUGGAAGUAGAAGGAAGAGAGAUGGUUUUAUUAAGAGAAGAAGAAGUCGACAUGAGAGGUGAGGAGAGUUCUG
rnacentral:lncRNA from 1 species